rnacentral:rRNA from 1 species
UGACCCCAGGUUAGGUAAGAGC